rnacentral:rRNA from 1 species
UACGUAGGGACCGAGCGUUGUCCGGAAUCAUUGGGCGUAAAGAGCGUGUAGGCGGCCUUUUAAGUCCUGCGUGAAAUCCUGCGGCUCAACCGCAGACGGUCGUGGGAAACUGGAAGGCUAGAGUGCGGGAGAGGAGAGUGGAAUUCCCGGUGUAGCGGUGAAAUGCGUAGAUAUCGAGAGGAACACCAGAGGUGAAGACGGGUUGCUGGGCUGACACUGACGCUGAGGCGCGACAGCGUGGGGAGCAAACAGG